rnacentral:lncRNA from 1 species
UUUUUUUUUUUGAGACAGAGUCUUGCUCUGUUGCCCAGGGGAGGUUGAGGUUGCAGUGAGCCAUGAUCGCACCACUACACUCCAGCCUGAGCAACAGAGAGAGACUGUGUCUCAAAAAAAAAAAAAAGAAAAAAUAAUAAUCACGUUUAUGAAUAUUAAUUAAAAUAUAUUUCCUAGCAAGCAGACUCAGAAAAAAGGAAAAAAAUAAUUAACAUUAGGAAAAAUACUGAAAGUAUCCUAAUAAUGGGGGUGUAAUUAAAUUCAUUACAUUGUUUGAAGGAUUCUUACUAACAUGGAAAAAAGUAUAAAUUAUAUAGACCAACGUAAUGUUGACAGAUAAAUUAUUGGUUAUAAAACAUAUAACAUUACUUCAAUUAUGUAAAUAUGUAUAAUACAUCCGGGCGCGGUGUCUCACGCCUGUAAUCCCAGCACUUUGGGAGGCUGAGGCAGACGGAUCACGAGGUCAAGAGAUCAAGACCAUCCUGCCCAAUAUGGCAAAACCCCGUCUCUACUAAAAAUACAAAAAUUAGCUGGGCGUAGUGGCACGCGCCUGUAUUCCCAGCUAUUUGGGAGGCUGAGGCAGGAGAACUGCUUGAACCCGGGAGUCAGAGGUUGCAGUAUGCCGAGAUGGCACCAUUGCACCCAGCCAGGCAACAGAGCGAGACUCUGUUUC